CCUACGGGAGGCAGCAGUGGGGAAUAUUGCGCAAUGGGCGAAAGCCUGACGCAGCGACGCCGCGUGAGGGAUGAAGGUCUUCGGAUCGUAAACCUCUGUCAGCAGGGAAGAACGGUCACUGUGCUAAUCAGCAGUGAAUUGACGGUACCUGCAAAGGAAGCACCGGCUAACUCCGUGCCCGCAGCCGAGGUAAUACGGAGGGUGCGUGCGUUAAUCGGAAUUACUGGGCGUAAAGCGCUCGUAGGCGGUAUGUCAAGUCAAGGGUGAAAUCCCCGCGCUCAACGUGGGAACUGCCUUUGAAACUGGCAAACUGGAGUGUGUGAGAGGAUAGUGGAAUUCCAGGUGUAGGAGUGAAAUCCGUAGAUAUCUGGAGGAACAUCAGUGGCGAAGGCGACUAUCUGGCACAUAACUGACGCUGAGGAGCGAAAGUGUGGGUAGCAAACAGGAUUAGAUACCCGAGUAGUC
rnacentral:rRNA from 1 species